CGAAUCGAGUCGAGUGAGAUGGAAUUCGAAUCGAAUCGAAUCGAAUAUAUUUGUUCGAGUUAAAUUUUAAAAAAUAAUUUUGGGUCCUUGUAACCAUUGUCACCCAUCGUAAUAAAAUUUGUCCACCUUAAUCAAAAUUUUUAUUAACUUUCAUCACUUCAUAAUUUAUUUAUUAAUUUUUUAUAUACUGGUUAGCUUCUUUGCUUGCUUAGUUGUUUCAAUUAUCUUCAGAUUCUUGUCACUAUGUAUUUUAGAAUUAAAAAAUAUAUUAAAUGUAAAAAUAUGAUUUUUUAAUAAAAGUUAUUUUAAAAAUAAAAUGUGAAAUUGAUACCAAUAUAAAAUUUUAACACGAAUAUUUUAUGGCAUAAUUAAUAAUUCAAUUUUAAUAUAAAUAUUCAAUAUGACUAAACAAUUCAAUAAUAUAAAUAAUAUAAAAUGUGAAAUUUAAUUUAAUAAUAUAAAUAGUAGAUAUAAAUAAAAUUAUUACUAUUUAUGUUUAGUGAUUUUUUUUGGAUAUUUUGAUUUUUUAUUUG
rnacentral:lncRNA from 1 species